CAAUAUGCAGUUGAAAUCAAGACGUAAACGUAAACUGAAAUCUGACGAUUGUGCGAGGAAAGCCGAUUUACGUCUAAAUGCAGUUUUACGUCUAAAUGUUGAAACUCGUUCGUAAAAUUGCAGAAGACAGUUUGCAGUUAUAAAUAGAAUCAAACUGUAAGUGUAAACUGCAAAGAAACUCGUUCGCAAAAGCACAGAGAACAGUUCUGCAGAAUCAAAACGUAAACGUAAACUGUAAUGUACUAAAACACGACUUUACGUCUGAAUGUAGAUUCGAAGAACAAGCACUUAGAACUUGUUCGUGAAAGCGCAGAGAGCAGUAGUAGUGGAGGAGGUUUGCAGUAAAGAUAAAGUGCUCAAAGAUAAACGCAAACCAGAGAUUUAGAGUGGUUCGGUCAGUCCUGACCUACUCCACUUUUGGCUUCCUCCACCGACGAGGUUGCCGACGUCAACUAGGAGCCUUCCUUCAAUAGGCGAAGGCCAACUACCCUCUUACAGAUUCACUCCUUUUGACGGGCUCAGGAGACAACCCUUACAAAUGUUUUCUCUCCUCUCUUUACAACUCAAACUUGAAGAAUAGAAGGAGGAGGAAAACUAGCAGUUUUGAGCUCUAAGAACCACUGAAAAGAUCAAGAUUUCGGCUUGAGUUCUUACUCUCUCAGUGCUGAAUGGGUGGGGUAUUUAUAGGCCCCAACCCAAUUCAAAUUUGGAGCUCAAAACGAUCAAAUCCCGGAAUUCCGGGAUCAGGCGGUUGCACCUCCUGACUGGAGAGGUUGCACCGCCUGGCAGAGCUCGAAGACCGAG
rnacentral:lncRNA from 1 species